rnacentral:lncRNA from 1 species
GCUACUUGAAUUGAUUUGCAAUUAUAUGAAUUGUGUGUGAAACUCUUUACUUGUCAAACGCUACGCCGUAACAGGGUAGUUAUAAAGGUAGCUUUCGGGUUUGUCAAGAAGCAUGCUAUGAGACAUGGUCAAUCAAGAUGGGAUUUGCCCCUCUCUGAUUGAGAGUGAUAUCUCUGGGCCCCUCGAGUCAUUGGAUCCAAAAAUGCAUGGCCA